UACGAAGGGGGCUAGCGUUGCUCGGAAUCACUGGGCGUAAAGGGCGCGUAGGCGGCCAUUCAAGUCAGAGGUGAAAGCCCAAGGCUCAACCUUGGAACUGCCUUUGAUACUGUUUGGCUUGAGACCGGUAGAGGUAAGUGGAACUGCGAGUGUAGAGGUGAAAUUCGUAGAUAUUCGCAAGAACACCAGUGGCGAAGGCGGCUCACUGGUCCGGUUCUGACGCUGAGGCGCGAAAGCGUGGGGAGCAAACAGG
rnacentral:rRNA from 1 species